rnacentral:rRNA from 1 species
AGGGAUUAUUACCAAUUUAGUGUCGUUCGAGAACCAUACAAUAGUUAAAACUUUCAACAACGGAUAUCAUGAUCCUGGCAUCGACGAAGAACGCAGCAAAAUGCGAUAAGUAAUGCGAAUUGCAGAAUUCAGUGAGUCAUCGAAUCUGUGAACAUACAUUGCGCCCUGUGGUAUUCCGCAGGGCAUGCCUGUUCGAGUGUCAUCUAAAUCCUCAGGCCCUGCUUAACGUUGGGCCCUGUCCGCCAUGUCCGGCCCCCUCCCAGGGUGUGGUGGUGCCCUGCCAAAAACCCUAACUCUGUGGUUGACUUUGGAGCAGGUAAGCCACGAGGUAGUUGUUGAACUAGUCGGCAGAAGGCCGAUGGCAUAUGGAAGCCUUGGCAUCUCCUUUGAAAAACUUUUUGAGCGGAGGCCAUCGUGAGGAACAGCAGAGCAUGAUAUCAUUUUUUCGCCACGAGAACUAGGAAAGAUAGCUAGAAGGGGCACCCGCAAAGUUUAA